UGCAUGUGUUAGCAUAAAGCGGCUUCGGCCCUCAGGCUGUGGAUGGCUCAUUAUAUCAGUUAUAAUCCACUCUCAAAUAAACGCUUUCAGGUUCUGAAGACGUACAUGGAUAACUGCUGUAACACGGGAGCUAAUACAUAAACAAACCGAUCCAAAUUCGCCCGAACACGGAUCGCGUUCGCUUAAAACAAGCCCCCUACAAACAAAAGCGGAAUCCGAGGUAAUUUUUUACCUCGGACGCGAUUGUAGUGAAUGCAGUUGAUCGCAUGAAUUCUUCGGAGCUCGGCGCGUCUUGAGAUCGGGUUUCUGCCCUAUCAGCUCGUUGCAUGGGUAUUGUCCAUGCCAGGCUUUUACGGGUACGGGGAAUCAGGGUUCGAUUCCGGAGAGGGAGCCUGAGAAAUAGCUACCACCCCUAAGGGGGGCAGCAGGCACGAAAAUUACCCAAUGCUAACACAGCGAGGUAGUCACGGGAAAUACUGAUACUGCCGUUUUCAUAACGGUAGUAAUCGGAAUGUGAACAUUUUAAACCACUUAACUAGGAUCAAUUAGAGGACAAGUCUGGUGCCAGCACCCGCGGUAAUUCCAGCUCUAAUAACGUUCACUAAAUUUGCUGCAGUUAAAACGCUCGUAGUCGACUCCCGGUCGACCGUGUUUAAAAAUGGUACGUCAUAUUGCAUCCGGAAAGCCGCGAGGGGUGAAAGCUCCUUUUUAAGCUGACCGUUCGAGCGUGGCGUGCCGGCAUGGAAGGCAUUUUACUUUUGUACGCAUACGCCCGCAGGCUCGUUUCGACGGGUCUGCGGUAUUGAGCGUCCUAUUUUACCGUAAGCAAAAUAGAGCGCUCAAGGCAGGCUAGAAUACCGGGCUCGCUCGGUAGCUAACCUCGUUCCGUCAAUUUUUGGCGGGGCGGCGUGCAUACAUUAGUACGGGACAACUCAAUCGGCCUCACCUCUUCGGGGGGCUUGUUGGGCUACUCUUGGAUCGGGCUUAGCUUCCGUUAGCGGUCGCGGCUUGUUCAAGGGCAAGUUGAAAUAGGAGCGGUUGGGGACAUACGUAUUAUCGGGCUAGAGGUGAAAUUCUUGGACCCCGAUAAGACGACCUGAUGCGAAAGCGUUUGUCAAAAACGUUUUCUUUGAUAAAGAACGAAAGUUUAGGGAGCGAAGAUGAUCAGAUACCGUCGUAGUCUAGACUGUAAAAACUACCGACGGGUUAUUGGCGUGCGUCCAAUAUGGUACGACCCCGCCAGAAACCUUCAUUCUUAAAAAUGGAAACUAGAGUGAUGGGUUCUGGGGGGAGUAUGGUCGCAAGACUGAAACUUAAAGGAAUUGACGGAAAAAUACACCAGGAGUGGAGCUUGCGGUUUAAUUUGACUCAACACGGGAAAACUUACGAGGUCCAGAUAAACAAUGGAUUGACAGACCGAAAGAUCUUUCUUGAUCGUUUAAAUGGUGGUGCAUGGCCGUUCUUAGUUGGUGGAGUGAUUUGUCUACUUAAUUGUGCUAACGAACGAGACUUUGCUCUGCUAAGUAGCACGGGUAAACUAUGUUGGAAUUUUUGACCGGUGCUGUCGCUGCCGGGAAGGUUUUCGGCUCCGAGGCUUUUUUCCCGUUUUCGGACGAGGGGGAAAGUACAGGGCUUGAAGAACCGGCCCUAAAAUUUAUAAAGGCAGCGCUCCCCAGGUCAUUAAACAAAGGGGGGUCGCGGCACGGGUCGGGGGAAGGGAUCGUAACCCGGUCCCAGAACCCGGCUCAAUAAAGUGAAAACAUAACCCGGGGGUGGUUUAAAGGGUUUUAAGCCCCGCUUCUUAGAGAGACUACCGGCCUCAAGCCGGGGGAAGAUCAAGGCAAUAACAGGUCUGUGAUGCCCUUCGAUGUUCUCGGCCACACGCGCGCUACAAUGAACGUUGUAACGAGCCCAAGCCGCUCCGAGAUCGAUAUUUUUAUCGAUCUGAGAGCGGUGGAACCAAGGCUGAAAAGCUGAGGUAAUCUUUAACCGCGUUCGUGAUUGGGAUAAUCGAUUGUAAUUAUCCGAUUUGAACGAGGAAUUCCUAGUAAGUGCGAUUCACUACAUCGCGCUGACUACGUCCCUAUUUUUUGUACACACCGCCCGUCGCUCCUACCGAUCGAACACGGGGGUGAAGCCAGUCGGGUUGUCUCGCUCCGCAGGCUCGGUUGAAAAACUUGGCAGCGGGUCGAAAAGACGGCUUUGGCUGUUCAGCC
rnacentral:rRNA from 1 species